GGAUGCGAUCGUACCAGCACUAAAGCACCAGAUCCCAUCAGAACUCUGAAGUUAAGCAUGCUUGGGAGAGAGUAGUACUAGGAUGGGUGACCUCCUGGGAAGUCCUGGUGUUGCAUUCC
rnacentral:rRNA from 1 species